rnacentral:rRNA from 1 species
UACGUAGGGUGCGAGCGUUAAUCGGAAUUACUGGGCGUAAAGCGUGCGCAGGCGGUUCGUUAAGUUCGAUGUGAAAGCCCCGGGCUCAACCUGGGAAUUGCAUUGGAAACUGGCGGGCUUGAGUGUGGCAGAGGGGGGUGGGAUUCCACGUGUAGCAGUGAAAUGCGUAGAGAUGUGGAGGAACACCAGUGGCGAAGGCGACACGCUGGGCCGUACCUGACGCUAAAGCGCGACAGCAUGGGGAGCAAACGGG